rnacentral:lncRNA from 1 species
GGCCAUUCGUGUUGCUUUGACACAUCUGCUAUCAGUUAAUACAAGUUUGGUGACUAUUUUUAGGCCCUGCCCCUUGGUCAUGGUCCAGUGACUUUGAAUGAAGUAGCAAUUUAUAUUAAGUUAGUUUGAUAAGAGCUACAUGUGAUAGAUCAAAUUCAAUGAUAUUUUGUAUGAGGUUGCAAAUCUAUCAUUACACAAUGCUAUUAUGACAAAUUUGAAGUGAUUUCGCAAGACUUAUGGAUUUAUGGAUACAUGUCAGUUUGCUGACUAUUUUGACACAACAUUGACAAGUGACUUUGAAUUAGUAAAAUUUUCUGUGUAACUUAAUUAGAUUAAACAAAUUUACAAGAACAAAACUGUUUUGAACACCAA